ACAAAGAUUGGGAACUAUGAAGAAUUCUCUGUAUUUGGGCAUCUUGAGAAUUUAGAGUUAAUGAUGCAACCCACCAAUCAAAAC
rnacentral:ncRNA from 25 species